rnacentral:rRNA from 1 species
GGAUGCGAUCAUACCAGCACUAAAGCACCGGAUCCCAUCAGAACUUUGAAGUUAAGUGUGCUUGGGCGAGAGUAGUAUUAGGAUGGGUGACCUCCUGGGAAGUCCUCGUGUUGCAUUCC